rnacentral:rRNA from 1 species
AUUGAACGCUGGCGGCAUGCUUUACACAUGCAAGUCGAACGGUAACAGGCCGCAAGGUGCUGACGAGUGGCGAACGGGUGAGUAAUGCAUCGGAACGUGCCCAGUCGUGGGGGAUAACUACUCGAAAGAGUAGCUAAUACCGCAUACGAUCUAUGGAUGAAAGCGGGGGACCGUAAGGCCUCGCGCGAUUGGAGCGGCCGAUGUCAGAUUAGGUAGUUGGUGGGGUAAAGGCUCACCAAGCCAACGAUCUGUAGCUGGCCUGAGAGGACGACCAGCCACACUGGGACUGAGACACGGCCCAGACUCCUACGGGAGGCAGCAGUGGGGAAUUUUGGACAAUGGGCGCAAGCCUGAUCCAGCAAUGCCGCGUGCAGGAAGAAGGCCUUCGGGUUGUAAACUGCUUUUGUACGGAACGAAACGGCUCUGGUUAAUACCCGGGGCUAAUGACGGUACCGUAAGAAUAAGCACCGGCUAACUACGUG